AGGACGAACGCUGGCGGCGUGCUUAACACAUGCAAGUCGAGCGGAAAGGCCCUUCGGGGUACUCGAGCGGCGAACGGGUGAGUAACACGUGAGCAACCUGCCCUCAGCUCUGGGAUAGCUCCGGGAAACCGGAAUUAAUACCGGAUACGACUACGGCCGACAUCGGCUUUGGUGGAAAGGGUUUCCGGCUGAGGAUGGGCUCGCGGCCUAUCAGCUAGUUGGUGGGGUAAUGGCCCACCAAGGCGACGACGGGUAGCCGGCCUGAGAGGGCGACCGGCCACACUGGGACUGAGACACGGCCCAGACUCCUACGGGAGGCAGCAGUGGGGAAUAUUGCGCAAUGGGCGAAAGCCUGACGCAGCGACGCCGCGUGGGGGAUGAAGGCCUUCGGGUUGUAAACCCCUUCAGCAGGGACGAAGCGCAAGUGACGGUACCUGCAGAAGAAGCGCCGGCUAACUACGUGCCAGCAGCCGC
rnacentral:rRNA from 1 species